CCUACGGGUGGCAGCAGUAGGGAAUCUUCCACAAUGGACGAAAGUCUGAUGGAGCAACGCCGCGUGAGUGAAGAAGGGUUUCGGCUCGUAAAGCUCUGUUGGUAGUGAAGAAAGAUAGAGGUAGUAACUGGCCUUUAUUUGACGGUAAUUACUUAGAAAGUCACGGCUAACUACGUGCCAGCAGCCGCGGUAAUACGUAGGUGGCAAGCGUUGUCCGGAUUUAUUGGGCGUAAAGCGAGUGCAGGCGGUGCAAUAAGUCUGAUGUGAAAGCCUUCGGCUCAACCGGAGAAUUGCAUCCGAAACUGUUGGACUUGAGUGCAGAAGAGGAGAGUGGAACUCCAUGUGUAGCGGUGAAAUGCGUAGAUAUAUGGAAGAACACCAGUGGCGAAGGCGGCUCUCUGGUCUGCAACUGACGCUGAGGCUCGAAAGCCUGGGUAGCGAACAGGAUUAGAUACCCUUGUAGUC
rnacentral:rRNA from 1 species